rnacentral:rRNA from 1 species
AGCAGCCGCGGUAAUUCCAGCUCCAAUAGCGUAUAUUAAAGUUGUUGCAGUUAAAAAGCUCGUAGUUGAAUUUCGAAAUCGGUUUAUUGGUCGUGCUUUUGUAUGUACUGGUAUAAUCGGUUUCUCCCUUCUGAUGAACCAUAAUGUCAUUAAUUUGGUGUUAUGGGGAAUCAGGACUGUUACUUUGAAAAAAUUAGAGUGUUUAAAGCAGGCUCACGCUUGAAUACAUUAGCAUGGAAUAACGGAAUAAGACGUUUGAUUCUAUUUUGUUGGUUUCUAGGAUCGACGUAAUGAUUAAUAGGGAUAGUUGGGGGCAUUAGUAUUCAAUUGUCAGAGGUGAAAUUCUUGGAUUUAUUGAAGACUAACUACUGCGAAAGCAUUUGCCAAGGAUGUUUUCAUUAAUCAAGAACGAAAGUUAGGGGAUCGAAGACGAUCAGAUACCGUCGUAGUCUUAACCAUAAACUAUGCCGACUAGGGAUCGGAUGAUGUUAAUUUUAAUGACUCAUUCGGCACCUUACGG